GUUGCGGUCGCGGGCCUCGAAGGCGCGGAGUACCGUCUGGAUCUGCACGCUCUUGCCCAGACGCGACUUCACGCUAUUGAUGGUAUCCUGUCGCAAGAGAGGGCGGGGAUAGAGUCCAAAUGACAUCAUGUGAACAGGAUACAUAAGCUCAGUGACGCUUGCGUGCUCUUUGACACAAUUCAUCGGGGUGGAGCUCAAAACGACUGGCCUGACCCCAAAGAGCUAAUAGAGACGCUGCGAAAUUGUCUCAUGAGAAACUCGACAGAAGACCCAGCCUUGAGAUCUUGAUCUACCAGUUGUGAGCUGUGCAUUUGGUAUUUGGUUAACCCCACUUAAUCACUUCCUAAUACAACACAGACGCAAUUCUACAAAACAUCAAUACCAUACCAAAAUGCAAUAAAACUGUACAUCAGAGGUCGCCAAACUACGGCCCGCGGGCACAUUUGACCCGGCCCUCUAACCCUCCUGUUGUCCUCGGGUCAAAAUGACCCACCACUGUUAAAAACGCCCGCAAAACCCCGUAAAUGAUAUUUUUUUAACUUGAAAUGUUAUGACUUUUCCUAGAUUGUCCCCAACUGCAGAAAAAUUGAAAUGUUGUUUUUAAUUCACAUUUCCAUGGAAGCUGUACAAAAAAAAGUUCAAAGGUGGUCUUCGGGGCAAAAUGACCCAUGACGCAAAUAGGGUUGAAAUCAAGGUCACAAAGUUAUUUACACGCCAUAAAAUGUUUCAGUGUUUUAGUUGUAUCUCGGAUCAAUUAGUAGAACACGUGAACAAGACGGUAGCAGACAUAAACAAGACAAGAUAGGUGGCGUUCUCGUAGAUGGCAGAACUCUUUUUUUGUGGAUUUCAAGGUGCUAUAAAGAGAGAGAGUUGUUUAGUUAUUUAUUUCCUGUUUUUUUCUGUGAAGAACUCAGAGAGGGUUAUUUAGUUAUUAUUUAUUUCAUUAAUAGUGUUAUUAUUUGUUUCCUGACUUUUUUUCUGUAAAGAACCUGGAAAGGGUUAUUUGGUUAUG